rnacentral:tRNA from 1 species
CGCGGGGUGGAGCAGUUCGGUAGCUCGUCGGGCUCAUAACCCGGAGGUCGUAGGUUCAAAUCCUGCCCCCGCUCCCA